AAAAGCUCAAAUUUAAAAUCUGGUAGUCUUUGGCUGCCCGAGUUGUAAUCUAGAGAAGUGUUAUCCGCGCUGGACCGUGUACAAGUCUCCUGGAAUGGAGCGUCGUAGAGGGUGAGAAUCCCGUCUUUGACACGGACUACCAGGGCUUUGUGAUGCGCUCUCAAAGAGUCGAGUUGUUUGGGAAUGCAGCUCUAAAUGGGUGGUAAAUUCCAUCUAAAGCUAAAUAUUGGCGAGAGACCGAUAGCGAACAAGUACCGUGAGGGAAAGAUGAAAAGAACUUUGGAAAGAGAGUUAAACAGUACGUGAAAUUGUUGAAAGGGAAACGCUUGAAGUCAGUCGCGUUGGCCAGGGAUCAACCUUGCUUUUUUGCUUGGUGUACUUUCUGGCUGAUGGGUCAGCAUCAAUUUUGACCAGUGGAAAAAGGUUAAGGGAAUGUGGCAUCUUCGGAUGUGUUAUAGCCCUUGGUUGUAUACAUUGGUUGGGAUUGAGGAACUCAGCACGCCGCAAGGCCGGGUUUUUACCACGUUCGUGCUUAGGAUGCUGGCAUAAUGGCUUUAAUCGACCCGUCUUGAAACACGGACCAAGGAGUCUAACAUACCUGCAAGUGUUUGGGUGGAAAACCCAAGCGCGUAAUGAAAGUGAAAGUUGGGAUCUCUGUCGUGGAGAGCACCGAUGCCCGGACCAGACCUUCUGUGACGGUUCCGCGGUAGAGCAUGUAUGUUGGGACCCGAAAGAUGGUGAACUAUGCCUGAAUAGGGUGAAGCCAGAGGAAACUCUGGUGGAGGCUCGUAGCGAUUCUGACGUGCAAAUCGAUCGUCGAAUUUGGGUAUAGGGG
rnacentral:rRNA from 1 species